UGUCGUGAUGCGGAUCAUUUUUAUGGUAAGACAUUACAAUAACACGUUUGUUGUUUCUCAGCAGCUACAGGCAUGUACUGCAUGCACUAUCCAGCACACCACAAACAAACUAACAAAACAAACAAAGGCCCGUAUAUUGACACGUUGUUGUCUUUUUUUCUUUCGUUUAUUACUACUGUACACUGUAUUUUAGAAUAAUACCACGAUGUACUACAGUCCCCAUAAUGCAUCAGGGAUAGGACUAGAACAUCUUCAGAUUGGUUACAAAUCAGACAGACAGACAGACAGACAGACAGACAGAUUCACACUCAGUUUCAUUCUCAACAUCAUCAUCAACAUCAUCAUCCUCAACAUCUUCAUCCUCAUCAACAUCUUCAUGAACAUCACCUUCAUCCUCAACAUCAUCUUCAUCAACAUCAUCAUCAUCUCAUCCCACAUUCCACAUGUCUAGACCUAUAGUGCAGAGAUCCCAGCCACUAUCUAUCAGUGAUGUGUAGUCAUGGAUACCAUAGGAAGCCAGGCUUCCCCAAAUAUUUGACCAAUAAAAAACAUUUAAAUGUAUCUUUCAUCUCUCUCUCUCUGUGUUCUCAUCAUUUUUCGUUUAUUCGCAAGUGGCUGAAUCUCACCGGAGAAAUCAUCUGAGCGAGAGGAACAGCGGCCCUCUGUGUAGUCCAUGUAUCUGAUGCUGUCUGGAACAAAAGAGUAUGAAGUGUUGCUGCCAUAGCAUUUGACUGAUUGAUGCCAGCAAGCAUUUGGCCUUCCUUGAUAAAAAAAAAAAUGAAUAAAAUAAUUAGCCAAUCAGCGUUAAGCUGAGCUCAACUGUGGGAUGUUCUGGUGCAGCAAACCCCCCAACCAAUCAAAUCACAUUCUAAGAAAAAAGUCAUUUUUGUUUCUGGCCUACUUGUGUUGAUAUCCUGCAGUAGCUAGCUUGCUAAAUCAGCCCUUCCCUAAGCCAUGGAUGGAGAUGGGGAUUUAGACUUGUGGUUUUGACUUAAAUCUCUCUACAGGCCAAUGAUUAUGAUGGCGAUUCUGAUCUAACCAUGAAUUAAUAUAUUGUACCACUGGCCUGAGACAAUUGAAGUUCAAGAUGUAGCCUAGUAGGCUCACAUUAACUAACUAGCUAACUAGCUAACUAAGCUGGCUCAUUGUUGCCCAUGCGAGGAAGUUAGCAUUCUAGCUAGGUAGCCUAUGACAAUAACAACUUAAAGAGUACUGUAUGACAGAGCCAUUGACUGUUUUGCCAAACAUGUAAGAGAGGAGGAUGGCAUUGGAGUUCAACUAAGCAUAUAUAGCCUUGUUGAUUUGAUGUGAAUGUUUCAGUUGAAAUGGUGCUGUAAUAGCGCCGUCAAUACUCUCCUUGUCUUUGUGCUGACUUGCGGUAACUCAGUGGUUCUAAAUCAGUAGUUGUUUAGUAAAACUGUCGAAAACAUUAACUUGUUGGACCAUGUUCCAGGUCAUGUAACUGUUUGUGACAUGCAAUAUUUGCUUUGUGGACUUCACCGGACAGAUGUUGCUCUCCGAGUUUUGUGAUGAAACAAACGUACAGUACCAGCCAAAAGUUUGAACACACCUACUUAUUCAAAGGUUUUUUUCUUAAUUUUUUACAAUUUUCUACAUUGUACAAUAAUAGUGAAGACAUCAAAAUGAUGAAAUAACACAUAUGGAAUCAUGUAGUAACCAGAAAAGUGUUAAACAAAUCAAAAUAUGUUAUAUUUUAGAUUCUCAAAGUAGCCACCCUUUGCCUUGAUGACAGCUUUGCAAACUCGUGGCAUUCUCUCAACCAGUUUCAUGAGUUAGUCACUUGGAAUGCAUUUAAAUAAACAGGUGUGCCUUGUUAAAAGUUAAAUAUUGGAAUUUAUUUCCAUCUUAAUGCGUUUGAGCCAAUCAGUUGUGUUGGCCCUAUUUGGUAAAAGACCAAGUCCAUAUUAUGGCAAGAACAGCUCAAAUAAGCAAAGAGAAAUGACAGACCAUCAUUGCUUUAAGAUAUGAAGGUCAGUCAAAGCGGAGUAACAUUUCAAGAACUUUGAAAGUUUCUUCAAGCGCAGUCACAAAAAACAUUAGGCGCUAUGAUGAAACUGGCUCUCAUGAGGACCGCCACAGGAAAGGAAGACCCAGAGUUACCUCUGCUGCAGAGGAUAAGUUCAUUAGAGUUAACUGCACCUCAGACUGCAGCUCAAAUAAAUGCUUCACAAAUAUCAAACUCAACUGUUCUGAAACCGCAGGAAUCGGGCCUUCAUGGUCGAAUUGCUGCAAAGAAACCACAACUAAAGGGACACCAAUAAUAAUAAGAGACUUGCUUUGGCCAAGAAACACGAGCAAUGGACAUUAGACCGACAUUAGACCAGUGUAUGUGUAUUUCCCUCCGUGAAGCAUGGAGGAGGAGGUGUUAUGGUGUGGGGUUGCUUUGCUGGUGACACUGUCAGUGAUUUAUUUAGAAUUCAAGGCACACUUAACCAGCAUGGCUACCACAGCGAUACGCAAUAUCAUUUGUUUUUCAACAGGACAAUGACCCAACACACUUCCAGGCUGUGUAAGGGCUAUUUGACCAAGAAGGAGAGUGAUGGAGCGCUGCAUCACCCGACCUCAACUCAUUUGAGAUGGUUUGGGAUGAGUUGGACCACAGAGUGAAGUAAAAGCAGCCAACAAGUGCUCAGCAUAUGUGGGAACUCCUUCAAGACUUUUGGAAAAGCAUUCCAAGUGUAGUUGGUUGAGAGAAUGCCAAGAGUGUUUAAAGCUGUCAUCAAGGCAGAAGGGUGGCUACUUUGAAGAAUCUCAAAUAUAAACUAUAUUUUGAUUUGUUUAACACUUUUUGGUUACUACAUUAUUUCAUGUGUUAUUUCACAGUUCUGAUAGAGUCACUAUUAUUCUACAAUGUAGAAAAUAGUAAAACAAACAAAGAAAAACCCAUGAAUGAGUAGGUGUGUCCAAACUUUUGACUGGUACUGUAUGUUUAGUUGAAUUUAUUCCGCCACUGUGAGACUGUUGUCUUUUUGUUGUCAUGGUCUUAUUGUAUAUCAUGGUGGAGUAAGAACUAAUGGGUUAUAGAGAAAUUAUCACAAUAUAGGUUUUAAUACGGAUUUUCUACUGGGCUAGCUUGUCCAGUGAUUUUACCCACACACCACUACUGCUAUCUAUAGGCCGUCUAUAGGCCGAGCGCAAACAAAAAUAAGUUGUUUACACAUGUUAAAGCGCACAAUGCAUUGUUGUUCAGCCUCAUGGCAGUUUAAAGGGGGUGUUGGUUUUGUAUACAGGGUUCAGAGGAGUCACAGAGCAAGAGAGAAUGGACCUGGUAGUUACGACCCUGGUGGUUACGACCCUGGUGGUUACGACCCUGGUGGUUACAACCCUGGUGGUUACAACCCUGGUGGUUACAACCCUGGUGGUUGUAACACAGGAAAUAAAACAAAUAUUCAAAACUCCUUGCACACAGAACACCCAGCUGGUGAUGGUGAUAUAACUGAGUAGAACAAUCCUUCUACACCAGACUGACAACAUUACCAACAUCCUUCUCCCUGGUAGUUCAAACCCUAACAUACACACGCUCACGUGAAGCCUUCCCUGGCCCUCUUGUCUUGACUGGCCGAUCAGAAGGGAUCUCACUGGGAGGCAGUGAUUCUGUGUGUCUGUGUGUGGGUGUGAUCAGGAGGUGGCUUUGGGGAAAGUUCAGAUGGAUAGUCUCCGAUACCUGUACCUCUGUGUUUUAAGAAUGGCAGGUUUACACAUGCCAUGCAUCUCAUUCUGUUUCUCUGUUUCUCACUACCAGUCUGCAACUAAAGUGUCUUCUGAUAUAUCCAGAAGUAUUCAACAGUAAUACAAACAAUUAGUUGAUAAAUAGUACAUGACAAAUACAUUAUCCGUGUGCAAAUCAGGGUAAACAUAUAUAUAUAUAUACAUUAUAUAGAAUAUUAACAACAAAAACACAACUUGCAAUAAAUAAUACAUAUUUAAAUACACAAAAUAAUACAUAGCAUAAAUAAUCUUUCAAAACGGAAAUAAACUGUAUAAAAAUAGUUGCUACAUAAUACCUAAAAUGUAGUAUUUUUCCCCAAUAAUAUUUUCCAUUCUGUGUUAGUGAAUGUAACUGACCACUGGACAGACCACAACAGAACAGACAUAUUGAGAUGAAGGUAUAUAGAAUUGAGAUGAAGGUAUAUAGAACUCGGCAACCCAUGUAGAUACAGUCAGACCUGGUUUCAAAUACUAUUUGAAAUCUUUUAAAUAUUUAUUUUAAUUCGCAUCAAGGCCAUCAUACCAGGCACACUGGACCCACUCCAGUUGACCAUUUCCAUCGCUCUUCACACGGCCCUAACACAUCUGGACAAGAGGAACACCUAUGUGAGAAUGCUGUUCAUUCACUACAGUUCAGCCUUCAACACUAUUGUUCCCUCCAAGCUCGACACCAAGCUCAGAGCCGUGGGUCUGGACACUACCCUCUGAAACUGGAUCCUGGACUUCCUGACGGGCAGACCACAGACUGUGAAUAUUGUCAACAACACCUCCUGCACACUGACUCUUAACACAGGGGCCCCCCAGGGGUGUGUCCUCAGCUCUUAACACAGGGGUCCCCCAGGGGUGUGUCCUCAGCUCUUAACACAGGGGCCCCCCAGGGGUGUGUCCUCAGCCCUCUGCUGAUCCACUAGUUCUUCAGCGUCCACAUCACAGAGGACUUGACAUGGACCAACACCACCACCACUCUAGUCAAGACAGCGUAACGGUGUCUCUACUUCCUAAGGCGGCUGUAGAAAUUCGACGUGCCACCCGGGGUCGUCUCCAAAUAUUACCGUUGCACCAUCGAGUGUCCUGACCGGUUGCAUUACAGCCCGGUUACGGGAAUUGUUCCGUCCACGACCGAAAGGCCCUCCAGCGGGGGGUGAAGACGGCCCAGUACAUCACUGGGAUUGUGCUCCCAUCCAUCCAGGACAUCUACUGGAAACGGUACCUGAUGAAGUCCCGCAGCAUCAUCAAGGACCCCACACACCCCAACAUGAGGUCACUUCCUGCCAUGAGCUGUUCAUUCCCUUACUGUUGGGCAGACGGUAUCAGAGCAUGAGGUCUGAUACCAACAGGUUCAGAGACAGUUUCUAUCUACAAGCCAUCAGACUGUAUCAGAGCAUGAGGUCUGAUACCAACAGGUUCAGAGACAGUUUCUAUCUACAAGCCAUCAGACUGCUGAACACUUGAACAAGACUGACCACCUGCACUCUCAGCACACACACACACACACACACACCUGUUGCUACCAGACUACAUACUGCACAAUUUAAACACUCCCCCCUCUCCAAAACACAUGUAAAAAUGGAACUAUAAAUGGUCCCUUCCUGUAUUAUACUGAUGCUAAAAUGUUUAUUCUACUGAGCCAUUUACUUUAUAUUCGUAUUCUUGUAUUAAUUAUUAUUGUUGUUGUCGAGAAGGCACCUGCAAGUAAGCAUUUCAUUGGAUGGUGUAUGCCAUGUAUAUCCUUGUACAUACGACCAAUAAAACAUGAAACUAGUGUUUUCUCUAGUCUACCUGGAGUGCCAGAUGGGUGGAGUUUGAACACUUGCAAUUCGUCUAUUGGUUCCAUUCUGCCAGACAAGCUCAAUCAAGCCCAGCUAAAGUAUUUGGAAGAUUUCAAGUAGUAUGUGAGCCCAUGUCUGAAUACAGUAAUACAAUAUGUUACAGCUCCAAAAUAACCCUUUCUCUCUCUCUGUAUAGAUCGAUGCAUAGAAAAGCACUGAAAAUAAAAUAAAAGUCCUGAUUUUAUUUUUUGCCAGACUUUUCCUAGUUCUCAGACACUAGUAGUUUGCUUUCAUAUCAGAUAACUUAUUUGAUGUAAACCAUGAGUUACUGCAUUAAAGUCAUCACACAUUAAAGCAUACAUUACUCUGAAAGCCAGCCGUGAAGUAGCCUUUGUCCCAGAACAGUUCGUCCUUCCAACUACUCCAUUGGUAUUGGUAUCCAUUCCAGAAGGAGUUGGCAAGAGAGCCGAAAACAGCCUGGCACUCAGACUAGCCUUGAAGUGCUCGGGUUGAAGCGUCCGCAUACAACAGGCAUGCUUGUUUGCGUCUGACUGUAGCAGCUGUUAUUCUAUAGUCAGGGUAAUAUACACACAUACAAGUACAACACAGAGCCUGCAGUAGGAAGUUUGAGGAUGACCUAUAAACCUUAACUCAUCUACUGACUGUAUAUCAGCAUGAUGCUGCUGUACGCUUCAUCUGAGGUUCUGAGUCAUGGCGUUUAAACCACUGCUAACAACACAGGGAUCGUGAUCCGCCCCCUGCCUACAGUACUCUGUCCAUUCCAUCUAGACCUGAGCAGAGACAUAUUUACAAAUAUGGAAAUAUAUAUCUCAGAGCCUGACAACACCACAGGACAUACUGGAAGCAAGAGAAGAAGUCAGCUGUUGUCUUUAUAGUGAGGACAUCAGGGUUGGGGUCAAUUUCAUUUCAUUUCAGUCAAUUCAGGAAGUAAACAGGAACUGAUCCUAACCCUUAUUAAGGAGGUGAAAGAAACAGCUGUCUGAUAUGUUAACCAGCUCAGAUAGCAACUAGGACUACUACACAACCACUAGAAGUAUGACACCAGCCAUAUAGUAAAAGUCGUAGGCCGUCACUGUAAAUAACUGACUUGCCUAGUUAAAUAAAAGGUUAAAAAAAUACAAAAUAAUAAUAAUAAUAAUAUGUGUUAUUUCAUUGUUUUCAUGUCUCACUAUUAUUCUACAAUGUAGAAAUAGUAAAAAAUAAAGAAAAACCAUUGAAUGAGAAGGUGUUCUAAGACUUUUGACUGGUACUGUACAUGAAUUGUACAGAGUGAAAAAUGUAAAGUAUGAGUAGGUUCAUUAGAAAUGUAUUAAGGCUAUGCCGUGUGCGUUUACUUCUAUCAAUCUUCAAUUGCAAGGUGGUUGUUAGGUCAGGUUAUUGUCUAUUUUCCAACAGAUUUAACCCAAAAUAGCCCUAAAAGAUCAUCUCAUUUACCCACCACUAAAGCCUCCAGGAAUGAGGAGGAGCAGCAGGAGUGCGCCCUAGUGGCCACACAGAACACCACACGCUCAUCCAAAAGGGUCAAAGGGCUCAGAGGAAGAGAAAGCUGCCAAUGCUAGUGGUUCAUUUACAGUUCUUUCUAUACCACUGUUCCUACACUCCCAUACAUAGCCUAUAUAGUACAGUACGUUAUAUUCAUAUCACCAACAAAUGAUUAAACAAACGGUUCAAGAGAGUAGACGGACAGU
rnacentral:lncRNA from 1 species